CAUAAUUUUUUAUCACCCACACAGUCGAAUGCCUUUGCAUAGUCAAUAAAACAGAGGUAAACAUCUUUCCGGUAUUCUCUGCUUUCAGCCAGGAUCCAUCUGACAUCAGCAAUGAUAUCCCUGGUUUCACGUCCUCUUCUGAAUCCAGCUUAAAUUUCUGGUAGUUCUCUGUGCAUAUACUGCUACAGCUGAUCUUCAGCAAAAAUGUACUUGGGUGUGAUAUUAAUGAUACCGUUCGAUAAUUUCUGCAUUCUGUUGGAUCACCUUUCUUGGGAAUAGGCAUAAAGAUGGUCGGCCAGGCAGCUGUCUUCCAAAUUUCUUGGCAUAGACAAGCGAGCACUUCCAGCACUGAAUCUGUUUGUUGAAGCAUCCCAGUUGAUAUUCUGUCCAUUCCUGGAGCCUUGUUUUUUGCCAGAGCCUUCAGUGCAGCUUGGACUCUCUCUCGGCUCUGGAGGAAGGUCCUUCUCCUCAAUCUUCCCAUGGACUGGGAGCUUCUUAGCACAGGAAGCCCGGAUCCAAAGCACCGUUUCUGCUCCCAGUGCUUCUUUCUUGGUGGCAUGAGGUCCCCAUUCUCUGCUGGCUUCCCUUUCUUUUUAUCUCUUGUAAAAAAGAGAAAAAAGGAUAAAAGGUGGUGCAGGCCAACUCCAGAGAAACUUCCUUUACACUGGAUCACGGAUAUGACCUUAGUAAGGGUGUUAUAAUCCCACCCUAAUCCUCUUUACCAUAAAAUUACAAUCACAAAGUAGAGGAUAACCACAAAAUACUGGGAAUCAUGGCCUAACCACGUUGACGCAUCUUUUGGGUGGACACAUUCAAUCCAUGACAUUCUGCCCAAUGGUCUCCAAAAAUUCAUGUCCUUGCUACAUGUAAGACACAUUCACCCUAUCACAUCACAUCACAGCAAAAGCCCUAAAUCAACUCCAAGUCCAAAAUCCACAAAUUCUUCUUUACCUGUGAAAUCUAGAAUACAAGUUUGUUUGCUUCCAAAGUACAAUGGCAAACCAGGCACAAACUAGAUAUUUCCAUUACAAAUGGGAGAAAUUGCAGGGAAAGUAGUGAUGACAGGAGUAAAGAAAGUCUAUAGAAUAUAUUCCAUUAGCCCUCAAGGCUGGAAAAUAAUCCUCUGUUCUCUGAGAGGAUUCACACAAUGGCCCUGCCCUCCAGACUCCAGGUAUUGGUCGCAUUCUCUGGAUUCUGAGUCGAGGCCCCUGGGCCCUGGGCUUUAGCUCCGACUUUCAGGCCCAGGCAAUAAGACUUACCAAAAUAAAAUUAAAAACAUACAUAAAUGGAUGGAAAAGGUAUAAUAUGCAAACACCAAACAAAAGAAUGUUCGACUUGCUUUGCUCAUACCAAAUAACAUAGGUUUCAGAGUAAAAGUAUAUUAGCAUAAACAGACGGAGAAUAAAAACAAUAAAAGGGUUAAUUCACCUAGAAAAUAUAAUAACCCUAUGGCAGCGGAUUUUUUUUUUCUUUUCUUGGUUUAAAAGUCUAUGUCUCUAUUACGAGAGAUUCAAAAUACAAUGAAAAAAAAAAAACUAAUGGGAGGAGGAGCCAAGAUGGCGGACUCGACAGACACAUCCUUGGCGCCCUCUUUACAACAAAGACCCGAAAAAACAAGUGAAAGAGUAUAUUUGUAACAAGCUGGGAGCCUUGAGCAUCAAAGGCAAGCUUAGACAACAAACUGAGGGGUAGGGGAAGGAAGGGACCUUUCAGAAGCGGAGAGGAGUUGCCGGCCCUGAAUCGUGGGGAGCCCUCAGGCACCAUUCCCGGAGCAGCAGAGGUGGCAGCGGCGGGUGGGUCCUAGCGUUUGGCCGCAGUCUCCUCGGGGAGAAGCAGCAGCCACACAGCCCACUCACACCUCCAGAACCUGAACAGAAGGGCACUCUCCGCAAAAGCUAAGUACUUGCGGAUAUUUUACUGAGCCCCCCCACCCCCACGCCAGCUACAGCGGCUGAAUCCCUAGGCCUGAGAUAGACCCUGGUGAGCACCUGGAGCCGUCCUCCUGGCCUUGGGGAAGGAAAAAAAAUGCAACUGGGGGGAAGAGGUAAUUUGCUAGCUCCAUUAACUGGGGAAUCUCAGGACAGAAGCGACUCCCGUCCAGGCAUAAACCGUCUGUGGACCUUGAGCACCUUUCCCUUCUUCAUGGACCUGUGUGGGCCUAUUUCGGGAGAAUAGGCCCUUGUUGGCAAAGUCCAAGCAUUUCAGCGGUGCCGUGGAGAGGUGGGCGUUUGAUGUUUGACAUUGCUUUGCCUAUUAAACAGGGUCCUCACCUACCCACAUCAGGGACCUGAGGACUGGUAGCUCCACUCAGGUCACCCAGCCACCCGCGACAGGGGUCCAAAGAUAACUGGUACCUCCCACUCCUUACAACCUGAAACUUUGGGUGCCCAUGGUCCGUCUGCAGGACCCACCCUCCAGCAUGCUCUAGGGAACAGAGAUGCGUUUUUCUCAGAGACACUUGGGGGUCAGUUCUUAGUCCCCUGCCUUGUUCAGAGCUUGAGCCUCUGCUGCAAUCAGAUACCGGUAUCUACGCCAAUCACCCCUGCCCCUCUAAGACUGCAGGACAGAGCCUGUACCACACACUUGAUGAUCAGCUACCUGGAAACCUGAGCUGAAUUCAUACAAGAAAACUGAAUGGACUCCUAGACUGAUAUACCUGAUAACACAUCUAGCCAGCUGGAGACAGGACACCAGAGUUCCAAAGCUGAAAACAAUCAAGUUAGCUCACUCAAGCAACCCAUAGCGGUAUACCAAAACAAAACAAAGCAAGCAGCUACGACACAGGAAGCAAGCAUAAACUAAGACAAUAACUUAUAGAUGGCUCGGAGACAACAGUCAAUAUCAAGUCAGGUAAAGAAACAGACCAUGAUCACCUCAACAGGCUCUCAGAACAAAGAAUCCAGGGAUCUUCUAGAUGAAAGUGCAUUCCUGGAAUUACCAGAUGCAGAAUACAAAAGUUUAAUACACAGAACACUUUAGGACAUCAGGAAGGAAAUGAGGUAAUACACAGAACGAGCCAAGGAACACACAGAUAAAGCAACUGAAGAAAUUAGAAAGAUUAUUCAGGAACAUUAUGAAAAGUUUUAUAAGCUGGGAAAAUCCAUAGACACACAACAAUAAGGAAUUCAGAAGAUUAACAAUAAAAUUACAGAUUUAGACAACUCCGUGGAAAGUCAGAGGAGCAGAAUUGAGCAAGUAGAAGCUAAAAUUUCUGAACUCGAAGUUAAAUCACUUGGCACUAAUAUAUUUGAAGAAAAAUCAGAUAAAAGAAUUGAGAAAAAUGAAGAAACCUUAAGAAUCAUGUAUGUGGGACUCUAUCAAGAGAAAUAAGCUACGAGUGAUUGGAGUACCAAACAGGGAGGGAUAACAGAAAAUAUAGAGAAAAUUGCUGAAGAUUUGUUGGCAGAAAACUUUCCAGAUGUUGUGAAAGAUGACAGGAUAUCUAUCCAAGAUGCUCAUCGAACUCCACGUAAGGUGGAUGUUAAAAGAAAGUCACCAAGCCAUAUUAUAAUCAAACUUGCCAAAACCAAAGAUGAAGAGAGAACUAUAAGAGCAGUGAGGGAUAAACAAAAAGUCACCUACAAAGACAGCCAAUAAGAAUAACCUCGGACUACUCGGCAGAAACCAUGCAGGCAAGAAGGCAAUGGGAUGAUAAAUUUAAAAAAUGGAAGGAAAAAAAUUGCCUGCAAACAAUCAUAUAUCCAGCAAAACUGUCUCUUAAAUAUGAAGGUAAAAUAAAGACAUUUCCAAAUAAACACAAGUUUAGGGAAUUCCUAAAAACCAAACCAAAACUACACGAAACACUAAAGGGAGUUCUUUGGUUAGAAAAUCAAUAAUAUCAGGUAUCAACCCAAGACUAGAACACUGGGCAGAGCACCCAGAAGUCAACCCAGACAGGGAAAUCCCCCCCCCAAAAACAAAGCAAGAUUAUUUUAAAAAAGCCUAAAACAGGGCAACAGCAAUGUUAUUAUAUAAAAGAAGACAGCAUUAAAAUAAUAAAGAGGGAUUAAGAAAUGUAAUCAUACACCUUCCAUAUGAAGAGGAAGGUACAACAAUGCAAAGAAGUAAAAGUUAGUCUUAAAUUUAGAAAAAUAGGGGUAAAUAAUACGGUAGCCACAAAGGAGACAAACUGUCCUACUCAUCAAAAUAAAAUACAAGGGAAAAAUACAGACUCAGCAGAAACAAUAUCAACAACAACAAAUAUGAGGAAAGGACAAUAUAGAAAGAUAAUCUACUCAGCAUAUAAAAUCAAGUGGGAAAAGAAACUAUGAACAGCACACAAAAAAAGACAUCAAAAUGAUAGUACUAAAUUCAUAAAAAAAAAAAAAACCUACCCAUAAUUACCCUGCAUGUAAAUGGACUAAAUGCACCAAUACAGAGACAGACAGUGGCAGGAUGGAUUGAAAAACAAGAUCCGUCUCUAUGCUGCCUACAAGAGACACACCUUAGACUUAGAGACACACUUAACAUCUACUCAAUGGUAGAAAACUGAAUUAUUUCUGGCAGGAGAGACUCUGAAACCUGCUCUUGAACAUACAGUAGCUACAACAAAAGGAAGAAAUGAUGAAAUAAAAGAACUGAACAGAAGAUUUCAAAGGGCGGUUUGAGACGACAAAGUAUUAUAAGGAAACUUGCAAAGACGAAGAGUUAGAAAAGCGCAAUAGAAGAACACGUUCGGCAUUUCUCAGGGUGAAAGAACUGAAGAAAAACUCAAGUCUCAAGUUCCAAUAUUGAAGGAUUCUAUGGGAAAAAUAUUAAACAAUGCAGGAAGCAUCGAAAGAAGAUGGAUGGAUGGCAUACAGAGUCACUGUUUCAAAAAGAAACAGCCAAUAUCCAAACGUUUCAGGAGGUAGCUAGGCUCAAGAACCUAUGGUACCGAAGGAAGAAGUCCAAGCUGCACUGAAGGCACCGGUGAAAAACAAGGCUCCAGGAACUGACAGAGUACCAGCUGAGAUGUGUCAAUGAACGGAUGCAGCACGGGAAGAGCUCGCUUGUCUAUGCCAAGGAAUUUGGAAGACAGCUACCUGGCCAACCAACUGGAAGAGAUCCACACUUGUGCCCAUUCCAAAGAAAGGCGAUCCAAUAGAAUGUAGAAAUUGUCCAAAAUAUCAUGAAUAUCACACACAGGUAAAAUUUUGCUGAAGAUCAUUCAAAAGCAGUUGCAGCAGUAUAGUGACAGGGAAUUGCCAGAAAUUCAAGCCCAGUUCUGAAGAGUGCGUGGAACGAGGGAUAUCGUUGCUGAUAUCAGAUGGAUCUUGGCUGAAAGCAGAGAAUGCCAAAAAGUCUUUUACCUGUGUUUUAUUGACUAUGCAAAGGCAUUUGACUGUGUGGUUCAUAACAAAUUAUGCACAAUCUUGUGAAGAAUGGGAAUUCCAGAACACUUAAUUGUGCUCAUGAGGAACCUGUGCUCAGACCAAGACGCAGUCAUUAGCACAGAACAAGGGGAUACUAUGAGGUUUUAAGUUGAGAAAGGUGUAUGUUAAGGUUGCAUCCUUUCACCAUAUUUAUUCAAUCUGUAUGGAGGAAAUAAUUCAAGAAGAUAAACUAUAAGAAGAAGAAAGCGGGUAUCAGGAUUGGAAGAAGACUCAUUAACAACCUGCAAUAGGCAGAGGACACAACUUCUCUUGCUGAAAGUGAAGAGGACGUGAAGCAGUCACUGAAGAAAAUCAAUGACCACAGCCUUCACUAUGAAUUACACCACAACACAAAGAAAACAAAAAAUCCUCACAUAUGGAUUAAUAAGCAACAUCAUGGUCGAUGGAGAGAAGAUUGAAGUUGUCAAGGAUGUCUUUAUACUUGGACCCACAAUCCACGCCCAUGGAAGUAGCAGCGAAGAAAUCAAUGACAUAUUGCAUUGGGCAAAUGUACUGCGAAAGCCAUCUUUAAAGUGUUAAAAACCAAAAAUGUCACUUUAAGGACUAAGGUGCGCCUGACCCAGGCCAUGGUAUUUUCAAUCGUCUCAUAUGCAUGCAAAACCUGGAAAAUGAAUGAGGAAGACUGGAGAGGAAUUGAUGCCUUCGAAUUAAGGUCUUGGCCAAGAAUAUUGAAUAUACCAUGGACUGCCACAAGAACGAACAAAUCUGUCUUGGAAGAAGUACAGCCAGAAUGCUCCUUAGAAGGAAGGAUGGUGAGAUUUUCUUACGCACUUUGGACAUGUUAUCAGGAGGCACUGGUCCCUCGAGAAGGACAUCUUGCGUGGUAAAGUAAAGGGUUGGUGAAAAGAGAGAGACCUUUAAGAAGAUGGGUUGACACACUGAGUGCAAUACUAGUCUCAAAGAUAGCAGCCUUUGUGAGGAUGGCGCAGGAUCGGCAGUGUUUCCAUCUGUACAAAGGGGCGCCGUGAGUCAGAAUCCACUGGAUAGCACAUAACAACAAAAACACAAGUAGAUGAGUUGAACUGGGGGAAUCACCACCCUGCAUCCUUCAAGUCUUUGAUGGUGGCAGUUAUCUCUAUAAUUCCUCCAGGAAUGCGGUACUGCUUUUGGUUUACUAUUUUCCUAGAUAGGCAGUUCUAAUGGUUUCCCCUUGGCUUUUCCUACCAUAAUAGCCCUUACUCCACUUGUCUGGAAUCCACAAAGGUAGUUCUGCAAGUUGUUGGGUAUUCCAAUUCCAAUUAUGUGUUUAGGAACUGGGGAAAUCACUACGUGAUGGAUUCAGGGACCCACUGAAUCCACUGUGAAAUGAACCAGAGCUAUGGCUCCAUUAAGAACCUGACUUCCGUACAACCGCUUUCUGACCGGUGGGCCACAGUGACAUCUAGGGUCUCCUGGAUUCAGUGUCAGUUCAGAGGCAGUAUCCAGUAAUUCUUACGCUUGUACAGAUCAAGUAACUACUCGAUAGACUUCCCAUCUAUUUCACUCCUAGGGACACCAUGACUAAGUAGCCAAUGCCAUGAGUCCAUAGGAGUCAGGCUACUCUCAUUACUGCUUUGACUCCACUGUCCAUUAUGUGAACCACACCUACCUUGUUCUUGUCCAUUGAGUCACCCGCAUGGCCCCUAACACCGUGGGGUCCAAUCAGCCCCAUUGUAGUUUGGUGUCUUAAUUCAGUUAGGGCAUCUCCCAUUGUGAGAUCUGACUUCCAUAAAAGAACAAUCACAGCAGUCUUCAAGGAUGCUGGGGCUCCCUUCACAAAUUUAUUCCUCACCAUUGCGGUAAAAGGUGUGUCCUCUGAGCAUUCCAUGUGUGGGUCUGUGGGUCUAAGCCGAGAAAUCCACUCUAACAUGCCAGUUUCCCUAAGCCUUUGGAUACCUUCUUCUACUGUGAAAUCAAGGCGGGUCUGGCACUUCAGCUGGGUUUAGUGUGGGCCACCGCUUAAUCUGUGCUUCACUGAAUCAGUCACAUAAACUAUUAAAUCCUUUCCUAAGCUCUCUAGCUGAAACACUGGAUGAAGGAUCUGUGCUUAGUGGACCCAUAUCAAUGAACUCAGGCUGAGGCAACUUUAUGUUCCUUGCACCAUUAUCCCACACCCAUAAUAGCAAUUCCCACACGUAGUCUCCAGGCUUUUGUUUGUAUGUAUUAGAAAAGUCAAGCAGUUCUUUUUCUUUUGGAGUGUAGUGUACCUCCCCCUGGAUCACAUUUUGUGCUUUACCUUUGAGGAUAGCAGGGACUUCAGUCUAGUUAUAGGCCUAGAAGCAACAAUGGGUGUUGGGAAUGUGUCUGGAGAACAUUCAGCAAUGUCUUGUAAGACAUCUGCCUUAAGGGAUGAUGCCCCAGGCAGUGACUCAGACAUCACCCUAGUGGACGACUGAGACAAAGGCUCUUCAGACACAACUGGGUUAAUCUCAGCAGAUGGGGGUCUGAGGGGCUAACAGUUUUCCUGGGGAGGGUGGUUUAGCAGCCAAACAUGGAGUAAUCCCUUCAGGCGGGAGCUGCUAUUUGGUGAUGGCCUUGCUAUUCCUCAAUGAAACUCAUUUUCUUUCACUCCUAAUAGAGUGUGGGAUUUUGUUCUUCAACAACACAAACAAACAGAAAACAUGACCAGAGCCUUUGCAGCAGCAAAUUAGCUAGGAGAAGAUUAUAAUGUAAUGCUUUCAAGUUCUGAUUUAAAGUAGAAUUCUAACCCAGACAAAAUGUGAGGGCAAUCAAGGCAUUUCCAGACAAGUAAGUAAGAACUUAAACAUCUACUUGCAAGGCAUGCACCUUGAGGAAACUGUUGGAGAAAGGAAAUCAGCACAAAGGACUGAUGAGAAAAAAAAAAAAAAAAAGACUGUUUAGGCAUAGAAAAUAAAAACAGGCAUCUGAUCUGUCUGUAAAGAGACUAAAGUAACUCUAAGCGCUCAAUGUAGUCUUUCACCUUAGGUUUGGCGUUGGCUGUCUAGCAGCUCCAGGUAAGCUUUCCCCCAGGUUCUACCCUCCUUCCCUAGGAAUCAACCCAUCACCAUGAAGGAAAUGAGUUGCUUUGCAGAUCAAGCUAAAGAAUGUGAAGACUUAAGGCAAACUUUUGGUAUCAGCCUCCUCAGGUUUCUGACAUGCCCAGCAAAGUGAGAGAUCAUGGAAACUCCUUGUUUCCAUUCUCAUCUGGAGAGCUAACAUUCUGAGCAACGUGAUUGUUAACCAACCAGUCUUGAGAAUAUCCGUCCUGUGGCUGCUUUGUAACCAAGGUGAAACCCCCUUGACCUCCUGUCUUUCAAUUGUGUCUUGUAGCCAGUCAAUCGACUCACGUAAGCAAUAAUGACAACGAUUGUGCUUUACUUGUCGCGUCUUUGAUUGACCUUCGUCACUGUGAACCAACAAGAAAAACUGUAAUUUUAUUCUCCCCCUUCAGCACUCUGAUUACUCCUGAUUUGCCUUCUUCCCGUGAGAUUCCGGAACGUCAGCCUGAGACUUUGCGAUCUCCCACUGCCACGUCUCCGCUGCAAUAAAUCUCUUUCGAUUUUACCUUAAGGGAGCUGGGAAGUCUUUUCUCUCCAACAUUUUGGCGUAGUUAAUCGGCAGGGUUUUUGGAGUUACCCUUCCCCCGGAGACCCGAAGACCUGAAACACGGGAUUCCGGCACCAAGGGCCCCUUUGUGUGCCCCUCGCUGCAGCUUUUUCGGACCCUUCUGGCUGUCUGGGGGGAGAAGGGAGCAGAGAGACUGGAGGACUUCAUUACCACCAAGCAGAAGAGCCAGGAGCAUUUGCUUUGAACCAGGGGCCCCUGCACUGAGAAGCUGCUAGAUCUGGGGAAGACUGAUGACAAGGACCUUCUCCCAGAGCCAACAGAGAGAGAAAGACUUUCCUAGGAGCUGACGCCCUGAAUUCAGACUUCUAGUCUCCUAGACUGUGAGAGAAUAAAUUACUCUUUGUAAAAGCCAUCCACGUGUGGUAUUUCUGUUGUAACAACACUAGAUGACUCAAAUAAAACAUGGGUAAAGAACUUGAAUAGACAUUGCUCCCAAGAAAAAUAUACAAAUGUCCAAUAACCACAUGAAAGUAUGCUCAAUAUCUUUUGUCAUUGUUGCUGUUGUUGUUAGGUGCCCGUGAGUCAGUCAGUUCCAACUCAUAGUGACCCUACGAACAACAAAAGAAAACACUGCCUGGUCCUAUACCAUCCUCACAACCACUGUUAUGCUUGGGCCCAUUGUUGCAGCCACUCUGACAAUCCAUCUCAUUGAGGGUCUUCUUUCUUGCUAAUCCUCUACUUUAGCAAGCAUGAUGUCCUUUUCCAGGGACUGAUCCCUCCUGAUAACAUGUCCAAAGUAAAUGAGACUUAGUCUUGCCAUCUUAGCCUCCAAGACGCAUUCUGGUUGUACUUCUUCCAAGACAGAUUUCUUUGUCCUUUUGGCAGUCCAUGGUUUAUUCGAUACUGUUUGCCAAAAGCAUAAUUGAAAAGUAUCAAUUCUUCUUUGAUCUUCCUUAUUAAUUGUCCAGCUUUCACAUGCAUAUGAGAAGAUUGAAACACAAUGGCUUGGGUCACACACACCAUAGUCUUCAAGGCAACGUCUUUGCUUUUCAACACUUAAAGAGUGCUCUAAGUUUUUUUUUUUUUUUUUUGCAUCAGAUUUGCCCAGUGCAAUCCGACAUUUGAUUUCUUGACUGCUACUUCCAUGGGUGUUGAUUGUGAAUCCAUGUGAAGCGAAAUCCUUGACAAUUUCAAUCUUUUUUUUUUUUUUAUCAUGAUGUUGCUUAUUGGUCCAUUUGUGAGGAUUUUUGUUGUAUGUUGAGGUGUGAUCAAUCCAUACUGAAGGCUGUGGUCUUUGGUCUUCAUCAGUAAGUGCUUCAAGUACUCUUCACUUUCAGCAAGCAAGGUUGUAUCAUCGGCAUAACACAGGUUGUUAGUGAAUCUUUCUCUAAUACUGAUGCCCCGUGUUUGUUCAUAUACCCCAGAUUCUCAGAUUAUUUGCUCAGCAUACAUAUUGAACAGGUCAGUCGAAAGGAUACAACCCUGACGCACACCUUUACUGACUUUAAACCACACAGCAUCCCUUUGUUCUGUUCGAAUGACUGCCAGUUGCUGUGUGUACAAGUUCUUCAUGAGCACAAUCGACUGUGCCAGAAUUUCGCAUCUUCGCAAAGUUAUCCAUAAUUUUUUAUCACCCACACAGUCGAAUGCCUUUGCAUAGUCAAUAAAACAGAGGUAAACAUCUUUCCGGUAUUCUCUGCUUUCAGCCAGGAUCCAUCUGACAUCAGCAAUGAUAUCCCUGGUUUCACGUCCUCUUCUGAAUCCAGCUUAAAUUUCUGGUAGUUCUCUGUGCAUAUACUGCUACAGCUGAUCUUCAGCAAAAAUGUACUUGGGUGUGAUAUUAAUGAUACCGUUCGAUAAUUUCUGCAUUCUGUUGGAUCACCUUUCUUGGGAAUAGGCAUAAAGAUGGUCGGCCAGGCAGCUGUCUUCCAAAUUUCUUGGCAUAGACAAGCGAGCACUUCCAGCACUGAAUCUGUUUGUUGAAGCAUCCCAGUUGAUAUUCUGUCCAUUCCUGGAGCCUUGUUUUUUGCCAGAGCCUUCAGUGCAGCUUGGACUCUCUCUCGGCUCUGGAGGAAGGUCCUUCUCCUCAAUCUUCCCAUGGACUGGGAGCUUCUUAGCACAGGAAGCCCGGAUCCAAAGCACCGUUUCUGCUCCCAGUGCUUCUUUCUUGGUGGCAUGAGGUCCCCAUUCUCUGCUGGCUUCCCUUUCUUUUUAUCUCUUGUAAAAAAGAGAAAAAAGGAUAAAAGGUGGUGCAGGCCAACUCCAGAGAAACUUCCUUUACACUGGAUCACGGAUAUGACCUUAGUAAGGGUGUUAUAAUCCCACCCUAAUCCUCUUUACCAUAAAAUUACAAUCACAAAGUAGAGGAUAACCACAAAAUACUGGGAAUCAUGGCCUAACCACGUUGACGCAUCUUUUGGGUGGACACAUUCAAUCCAUGACAUUCUGCCCAAUGGUCUCCAAAAAUUCAUGUCCUUGCUACAUGUAAGACACAUUCACCCUAUCACAUCACAUCACAGCAAAAGCCCUAAAUCAACUCCAAGUCCAAAAUCCACAAAUUCUUCUUUACCUGUGAAAUCUAGAAUACAAGUUUGUUUGCUUCCAAAGUACAAUGGCAAACCAGGCACAAACUAGAUAUUUCCAUUACAAAUGGGAGAAAUUGCAGGGAAAGUAGUGAUGACAGGAGUAAAGAAAGUCUAUAGAAUAUAUUCCAUUAGCCCUCAAGGCUGGAAAAUAAUCCUCUGUUCUCUGAGAGGAUUCACACAAUGGCCCUGCCCUCCAGACUCCAGGUAUUGGUCGCAUUCUCUGGAUUCUGAGUCGAGGCCCCUGGGCCCUGGGCUUUAGCUCCGACUUUCAGGCCCAGGCAAUAAGACUUACCAAAAUAAAAUUAAAAACAUACAUAAAUGGAUGGAAAAGGUAUAAUAUGCAAACACCAAACAAAAGAAUGUUCGACUUGCUUUGCUCAUACCAAAUAACAUAGGUUUCAGAGUAAAAGUAUAUUAGCAUAAACAGACGGAGAAUAAAAACAAUAAAAGGGUUAAUUCACCUAGAAAAUAUAAUAACCCUAUGGCAGCGGAUUUUUUUUUUCUUUUCUUGGUUUAAAAGUCUAUGUCUCUAUUACGAGAGAUUCAAAAUACAAUGAAAAAAAAAAAACUAAUGGGAGGAGGAGCCAAGAUGGCGGACUCGACAGACACAUCCUUGGCGCCCUCUUUACAACAAAGACCCGAAAAAACAAGUGAAAGAGUAUAUUUGUAACAAGCUGGGAGCCUUGAGCAUCAAAGGCAAGCUUAGACAACAAACUGAGGGGUAGGGGAAGGAAGGGACCUUUCAGAAGCGGAGAGGAGUUGCCGGCCCUGAAUCGUGGGGAGCCCUCAGGCACCAUUCCCGGAGCAGCAGAGGUGGCAGCGGCGGGUGGGUCCUAGCGUUUGGCCGCAGUCUCCUCGGGGAGAAGCAGCAGCCACACAGCCCACUCACACCUCCAGAACCUGAACAGAAGGGCACUCUCCGCAAAAGCUAAGUACUUGCGGAUAUUUUACUGAGCCCCCCCACCCCCACGCCAGCUACAGCGGCUGAAUCCCUAGGCCUGAGAUAGACCCUGGUGAGCACCUGGAGCCGUCCUCCUGGCCUUGGGGAAGGAAAAAAAAUGCAACUGGGGGGAAGAGGUAAUUUGCUAGCUCCAUUAACUGGGGAAUCUCAGGACAGAAGCGACUCCCGUCCAGGCAUAAACCGUCUGUGGACCUUGAGCACCUUUCCCUUCUUCAUGGACCUGUGUGGGCCUAUUUCGGGAGAAUAGGCCCUUGUUGGCAAAGUCCAAGCAUUUCAGCGGUGCCGUGGAGAGGUGGGCGUUUGAUGUUUGACAUUGCUUUGCCUAUUAAACAGGGUCCUCACCUACCCACAUCAGGGACCUGAGGACUGGUAGCUCCACUCAGGUCACCCAGCCACCCGCGACAGGGGUCCAAAGAUAACUGGUACCUCCCACUCCUUACAACCUGAAACUUUGGGUGCCCAUGGUCCGUCUGCAGGACCCACCCUCCAGCAUGCUCUAGGGAACAGAGAUGCGUUUUUCUCAGAGACACUUGGGGGUCAGUUCUUAGUCCCCUGCCUUGUUCAGAGCUUGAGCCUCUGCUGCAAUCAGAUACCGGUAUCUACGCCAAUCACCCCUGCCCCUCUAAGACUGCAGGACAGAGCCUGUACCACACACUUGAUGAUCAGCUACCUGGAAACCUGAGCUGAAUUCAUACAAGAAAACUGAAUGGACUCCUAGACUGAUAUACCUGAUAACACAUCUAGCCAGCUGGAGACAGGACACCAGAGUUCCAAAGCUGAAAACAAUCAAGUUAGCUCACUCAAGCAACCCAUAGCGGUAUACCAAAACAAAACAAAGCAAGCAGCUACGACACAGGAAGCAAGCAUAAACUAAGACAAUAACUUAUAGAUGGCUCGGAGACAACAGUCAAUAUCAAGUCAGGUAAAGAAACAGACCAUGAUCACCUCAACAGGCUCUCAGAACAAAGAAUCCAGGGAUCUUCUAGAUGAAAGUGCAUUCCUGGAAUUACCAGAUGCAGAAUACAAAAGUUUAAUACACAGAACACUUUAGGACAUCAGGAAGGAAAUGAGGUAAUACACAGAACGAGCCAAGGAACACACAGAUAAAGCAACUGAAGAAAUUAGAAAGAUUAUUCAGGAACAUUAUGAAAAGUUUUAUAAGCUGGGAAAAUCCAUAGACACACAACAAUAAGGAAUUCAGAAGAUUAACAAUAAAAUUACAGAUUUAGACAACUCCGUGGAAAGUCAGAGGAGCAGAAUUGAGCAAGUAGAAGCUAAAAUUUCUGAACUCGAAGUUAAAUCACUUGGCACUAAUAUAUUUGAAGAAAAAUCAGAUAAAAGAAUUGAGAAAAAUGAAGAAACCUUAAGAAUCAUGUAUGUGGGACUCUAUCAAGAGAAAUAAGCUACGAGUGAUUGGAGUACCAAACAGGGAGGGAUAACAGAAAAUAUAGAGAAAAUUGCUGAAGAUUUGUUGGCAGAAAACUUUCCAGAUGUUGUGAAAGAUGACAGGAUAUCUAUCCAAGAUGCUCAUCGAACUCCACGUAAGGUGGAUGUUAAAAGAAAGUCACCAAGCCAUAUUAUAAUCAAACUUGCCAAAACCAAAGAUGAAGAGAGAACUAUAAGAGCAGUGAGGGAUAAACAAAAAGUCACCUACAAAGACAGCCAAUAAGAAUAACCUCGGACUACUCGGCAGAAACCAUGCAGGCAAGAAGGCAAUGGGAUGAUAAAUUUAAAAAAUGGAAGGAAAAAAAUUGCCUGCAAACAAUCAUAUAUCCAGCAAAACUGUCUCUUAAAUAUGAAGGUAAAAUAAAGACAUUUCCAAAUAAACACAAGUUUAGGGAAUUCCUAAAAACCAAACCAAAACUACACGAAACACUAAAGGGAGUUCUUUGGUUAGAAAAUCAAUAAUAUCAGGUAUCAACCCAAGACUAGAACACUGGGCAGAGCACCCAGAAGUCAACCCAGACAGGGAAAUCCCCCCCCCAAAAACAAAGCAAGAUUAUUUUAAAAAAGCCUAAAACAGGGCAACAGCAAUGUUAUUAUAUAAAAGAAGACAGCAUUAAAAUAAUAAAGAGGGAUUAAGAAAUGUAAUCAUACACCUUCCAUAUGAAGAGGAAGGUACAACAAUGCAAAGAAGUAAAAGUUAGUCUUAAAUUUAGAAAAAUAGGGGUAAAUAAUACGGUAGCCACAAAGGAGACAAACUGUCCUACUCAUCAAAAUAAAAUACAAGGGAAAAAUACAGACUCAGCAGAAACAAUAUCAACAACAACAAAUAUGAGGAAAGGACAAUAUAGAAAGAUAAUCUACUCAGCAUAUAAAAUCAAGUGGGAAAAGAAACUAUGAACAGCACACAAAAAAAGACAUCAAAAUGAUAGUACUAAAUUCAUAAAAAAAAAAAAAACCUACCCAUAAUUACCCUGCAUGUAAAUGGACUAAAUGCACCAAUACAGAGACAGACAGUGGCAGGAUGGAUUGAAAAACAAGAUCCGUCUCUAUGCUGCCUACAAGAGACACACCUUAGACUUAGAGACACACUUAACAUCUACUCAAUGGUAGAAAACUGAAUUAUUUCUGGCAGGAGAGACUCUGAAACCUGCUCUUGAACAUACAGUAGCUACAACAAAAGGAAGAAAUGAUGAAAUAAAAGAACUGAACAGAAGAUUUCAAAGGGCGGUUUGAGACGACAAAGUAUUAUAAGGAAACUUGCAAAGACGAAGAGUUAGAAAAGCGCAAUAGAAGAACACGUUCGGCAUUUCUCAGGGUGAAAGAACUGAAGAAAAACUCAAGUCUCAAGUUCCAAUAUUGAAGGAUUCUAUGGGAAAAAUAUUAAACAAUGCAGGAAGCAUCGAAAGAAGAUGGAUGGAUGGCAUACAGAGUCACUGUUUCAAAAAGAAACAGCCAAUAUCCAAACGUUUCAGGAGGUAGCUAGGCUCAAGAACCUAUGGUACCGAAGGAAGAAGUCCAAGCUGCACUGAAGGCACCGGUGAAAAACAAGGCUCCAGGAACUGACAGAGUACCAGCUGAGAUGUGUCAAUGAACGGAUGCAGCACGGGAAGAGCUCGCUUGUCUAUGCCAAGGAAUUUGGAAGACAGCUACCUGGCCAACCAACUGGAAGAGAUCCACACUUGUGCCCAUUCCAAAGAAAGGCGAUCCAAUAGAAUGUAGAAAUUGUCCAAAAUAUCAUGAAUAUCACACACAGGUAAAAUUUUGCUGAAGAUCAUUCAAAAGCAGUUGCAGCAGUAUAGUGACAGGGAAUUGCCAGAAAUUCAAGCCCAGUUCUGAAGAGUGCGUGGAACGAGGGAUAUCGUUGCUGAUAUCAGAUGGAUCUUGGCUGAAAGCAGAGAAUGCCAAAAAGUCUUUUACCUGUGUUUUAUUGACUAUGCAAAGGCAUUUGACUGUGUGGUUCAUAACAAAUUAUGCACAAUCUUGUGAAGAAUGGGAAUUCCAGAACACUUAAUUGUGCUCAUGAGGAACCUGUGCUCAGACCAAGACGCAGUCAUUAGCACAGAACAAGGGGAUACUAUGAGGUUUUAAGUUGAGAAAGGUGUAUGUUAAGGUUGCAUCCUUUCACCAUAUUUAUUCAAUCUGUAUGGAGGAAAUAAUUCAAGAAGAUAAACUAUAAGAAGAAGAAAGCGGGUAUCAGGAUUGGAAGAAGACUCAUUAACAACCUGCAAUAGGCAGAGGACACAACUUCUCUUGCUGAAAGUGAAGAGGACGUGAAGCAGUCACUGAAGAAAAUCAAUGACCACAGCCUUCACUAUGAAUUACACCACAACACAAAGAAAACAAAAAAUCCUCACAUAUGGAUUAAUAAGCAACAUCAUGGUCGAUGGAGAGAAGAUUGAAGUUGUCAAGGAUGUCUUUAUACUUGGACCCACAAUCCACGCCCAUGGAAGUAGCAGCGAAGAAAUCAAUGACAUAUUGCAUUGGGCAAAUGUACUGCGAAAGCCAUCUUUAAAGUGUUAAAAACCAAAAAUGUCACUUUAAGGACUAAGGUGCGCCUGACCCAGGCCAUGGUAUUUUCAAUCGUCUCAUAUGCAUGCAAAACCUGGAAAAUGAAUGAGGAAGACUGGAGAGGAAUUGAUGCCUUCGAAUUAAGGUCUUGGCCAAGAAUAUUGAAUAUACCAUGGACUGCCACAAGAACGAACAAAUCUGUCUUGGAAGAAGUACAGCCAGAAUGCUCCUUAGAAGGAAGGAUGGUGAGAUUUUCUUACGCACUUUGGACAUGUUAUCAGGAGGCACUGGUCCCUCGAGAAGGACAUCUUGCGUGGUAAAGUAAAGGGUUGGUGAAAAGAGAGAGACCUUUAAGAAGAUGGGUUGACACACUGAGUGCAAUACUAGUCUCAAAGAUAGCAGCCUUUGUGAGGAUGGCGCAGGAUCGGCAGUGUUUCCAUCUGUACAAAGGGGCGCCGUGAGUCAGAAUCCACUGGAUAGCACAUAACAACAAAAACACAAGUAGAUGAGUUGAACUGGGGGAAUCACCACCCUGCAUCCUUCAAGUCUUUGAUGGUGGCAGUUAUCUCUAUAAUUCCUCCAGGAAUGCGGUACUGCUUUUGGUUUACUAUUUUCCUAGAUAGGCAGUUCUAAUGGUUUCCCCUUGGCUUUUCCUACCAUAAUAGCCCUUACUCCACUUGUCUGGAAUCCACAAAGGUAGUUCUGCAAGUUGUUGGGUAUUCCAAUUCCAAUUAUGUGUUUAGGAACUGGGGAAAUCACUACGUGAUGGAUUCAGGGACCCACUGAAUCCACUGUGAAAUGAACCAGAGCUAUGGCUCCAUUAAGAACCUGACUUCCGUACAACCGCUUUCUGACCGGUGGGCCACAGUGACAUCUAGGGUCUCCUGGAUUCAGUGUCAGUUCAGAGGCAGUAUCCAGUAAUUCUUACGCUUGUACAGAUCAAGUAACUACUCGAUAGACUUCCCAUCUAUUUCACUCCUAGGGACACCAUGACUAAGUAGCCAAUGCCAUGAGUCCAUAGGAGUCAGGCUACUCUCAUUACUGCUUUGACUCCACUGUCCAUUAUGUGAACCACACCUACCUUGUUCUUGUCCAUUGAGUCACCCGCAUGGCCCCUAACACCGUGGGGUCCAAUCAGCCCCAUUGUAGUUUGGUGUCUUAAUUCAGUUAGGGCAUCUCCCAUUGUGAGAUCUGACUUCCAUAAAAGAACAAUCACAGCAGUCUUCAAGGAUGCUGGGGCUCCCUUCACAAAUUUAUUCCUCACCAUUGCGGUAAAAGGUGUGUCCUCUGAGCAUUCCAUGUGUGGGUCUGUGGGUCUAAGCCGAGAAAUCCACUCUAACAUGCCAGUUUCCCUAAGCCUUUGGAUACCUUCUUCUACUGUGAAAUCAAGGCGGGUCUGGCACUUCAGCUGGGUUUAGUGUGGGCCACCGCUUAAUCUGUGCUUCACUGAAUCAGUCACAUAAACUAUUAAAUCCUUUCCUAAGCUCUCUAGCUGAAACACUGGAUGAAGGAUCUGUGCUUAGUGGACCCAUAUCAAUGAACUCAGGCUGAGGCAACUUUAUGUUCCUUGCACCAUUAUCCCACACCCAUAAUAGCAAUUCCCACACGUAGUCUCCAGGCUUUUGUUUGUAUGUAUUAGAAAAGUCAAGCAGUUCUUUUUCUUUUGGAGUGUAGUGUACCUCCCCCUGGAUCACAUUUUGUGCUUUACCUUUGAGGAUAGCAGGGACUUCAGUCUAGUUAUAGGCCUAGAAGCAACAAUGGGUGUUGGGAAUGUGUCUGGAGAACAUUCAGCAAUGUCUUGUAAGACAUCUGCCUUAAGGGAUGAUGCCCCAGGCAGUGACUCAGACAUCACCCUAGUGGACGACUGAGACAAAGGCUCUUCAGACACAACUGGGUUAAUCUCAGCAGAUGGGGGUCUGAGGGGCUAACAGUUUUCCUGGGGAGGGUGGUUUAGCAGCCAAACAUGGAGUAAUCCCUUCAGGCGGGAGCUGCUAUUUGGUGAUGGCCUUGCUAUUCCUCAAUGAAACUCAUUUUCUUUCACUCCUAAUAGAGUGUGGGAUUUUGUUCUUCAACAACACAAACAAACAGAAAACAUGACCAGAGCCUUUGCAGCAGCAAAUUAGCUAGGAGAAGAUUAUAAUGUAAUGCUUUCAAGUUCUGAUUUAAAGUAGAAUUCUAACCCAGACAAAAUGUGAGGGCAAUCAAGGCAUUUCCAGACAAGUAAGUAAGAACUUAAACAUCUACUUGCAAGGCAUGCACCUUGAGGAAACUGUUGGAGAAAGGAAAUCAGCACAAAGGACUGAUGAGAAAAAAAAAAAAAAAAAAAGACUGUUUAGGCAUAGAAAAUAAAAACAGGCAUCUGAUCUGUCUGUAAAGAGACUAAAGUAACUCUAAGCGCUCAAUGUAGUCUUUCACCUUAGGUUUGGCGUUGGCUGUCUAGCAGCUCCAGGUAAGCUUUCCCCCAGGUUCUACCCUCCUUCCCUAGGAAUCAACCCAUCACCAUGAAGGAAAUGAGUUGCUUUGCGGAUCAAGCUAAAGAAUGUGAAGACUUAAGGCAAACUUUUGGUAUCAGCCUCCUCAGGUUUCUGACAUGCCCAGCAAAGUGAGAGAUCAUGGAAACUCCUUGUUUCCAUUCUCAUCUGGAGAGCUAACAUUCUGAGCAACGUGAUUGUUAACCAACCAGUCUUGAGAAUAUCCGUCCUGUGGCUGCUUUGUAACCAAGGUGAAACCCCCUUGACCUCCUGUCUUUCAAUUGUGUCUUGUAGCCAGUCAAUCGGCUCACGUAAGCAAUAAUGACAACGAUUGUGCUUUACUUGUCGCGUCUUUGAUUGACCUUCGUCACUGUGAACCAACAAGAAAAACUGUAAUUUUAUUCUCCCCCUUCAGCACUCUGAUUACUCCUGAUUUGCCUUCUUCCCGUGAGAUUCCGGAACGUCAGCCUGAGACUUUGCGAUCUCCCACUGCCACGUCUCCGCUGCAAUAAAUCUCUUUCGAUUUUACCUUAAGGGAGCUGGGAAGUCUUUUCUCUCCAACAUUUUGGCGUAGUUAAUCGGCAGGGUUUUUGGAGUUACCCUUCCCCCGGAGACCCGAAGACCUGAAACACGGGAUUCCGGCACCAAGGGCCCCUUUGUGUGCCCCUCGCUGCAGCUUUUUCGGACCCUUCUGGCUGUCUGGGGGGAGAAGGGAGCAGAGAGACUGGAGGACUUCAUUACCACCAAGCAGAAGAGCCAGGAGCAUUUGCUUUGAACCAGGGGCCCCUGCACUGAGAAGCUGCUAGAUCUGGGGAAGACUGAUGACAAGGACCUUCUCCCAGAGCCAACAGAGAGAGAAAGACUUUCCUAGGAGCUGACGCCCUGAAUUCAGACUUCUAGUCUCCUAGACUGUGAGAGAAUAAAUUACUCUUUGUAAAAGCCA